rnacentral:rRNA from 1 species
ACGAACGCUGGCGGCGUGCCUAAUACAUGCAAGUCGAACGCUUCUUUUUCCAUCGGAGCUUGCUCCACCGGAAAAAGAGGAGUGGCGAACGGGUGAGUAACACGUGGGUAACCUGCCCAUCAGAAGGGGAUAACACUUGGAAACAGGUGCUAAUACCGUAUAACAAUCGAAACCGCAUGGUUUUGAUUUGAAAGGCGCUUUCGGGUGUCGCUGAUGGAUGGACCCGCGGUGCAUUAGCUAGUUGGUGAGGUAACGGCUCACCAAGGCGACGAUGCAUAGCCGACCUGAGAGGGUGAUCGGCCACAUUGGGACUGAGACACGGCCCAAACUCCUACGGGAGGCAGCAGUAGGGAAUCUUCGGCAAUGGACGAAAGUCUGACCGAGCAACGCCGCGUGAGUGAAGAAGGUUUUCGGAUCGUAAAACUCUGUUGUUAGAGAAGAACAAGGAUGAGAGUAACUGUUCAUCCCUUGACGGUAUCUAACCAGAAAGCCACGGCUAACUACGUGCCAGCAGCCGCGGUAAUACGUAGGUGGCAAGCGUUGUCCGGAUUUAUUGGGCGUAAAGCGAGCGCAGGCGGUUUCUUAAGUCUGAUGUGAAAGCCCCCGGCUCAACCGGGGAGGGUCAUUGGAAACUGGGAGACUUGAGUGCAGAAGAGGAGAGUGGAAUUCCAUGUGUAGCGGUGAAAUGCGUAGAUAUAUGGAGGAACACCAGUGGCGAAGGCGGCUCUCUGGUCUGUAACUGACGCUGAGGCUCGAAAGCGUGGGGAGCAAACAGGAUUACAUACCCUGGUAGUCCACGCCGUAAACGAUGAGUGCUAAGUGUUGGAGUGUUUCCGCCCUUCAGUGCUGCAGCUAACGCAUUAAGCACUCCGCCUGGGGAGUACGACCGCAAGGUUGAAACUCAAAGGAAUUGACGGGGGCCCGCACAAGCGGUGGAGCAUGUGGUUUAAUUCGAAGCAACGCGAAGAACCUUACCAGGUCUUGACAUCCUUUGACCACUCUAGAGAUAGAGCUUCCCCUUCGGGGGCAAAGUGACAGGUGGUGCAUGGUUGUCGUCAGCUCGUGUCGUGAGAUGUUGGGUUAAGUCCCGCAACGAGCGCAACCCUUAUUGUUAGUUGCCAUCAUUUAGUUGGGCACUCUAGCAAGACUGCCGGUGACAAACCGGAGGAAGGUGGGGAUGACGUCAAAUCAUCAUGCCCCUUAUGACCUGGGCUACACACGUGCUACAAUGGGAAGUACAACGAGUCGCAAAGUCGCGAGGCUAAGCUAAUCUCUUAAAGCUUCUCUCAGUUCGGAUUGUAGGCUGCAACUCGCCUACAUGAAGCCGGAAUCGCUAGUAAUCGCGGAUCAGCACGCCGCGGUGAAUACGUUCCCGGGCCUUGUACACACCGCCCGUCACACCACGAGAGUUUGUAACACCCGAAGUCGGUGAGGUAACCUUUUGGAGCCAGCCGCCUAAGGUGGGAUAGAUGAUUGGGGUG